UCUAAACAGCUCUGUUGUAGUCCAGCCUUAACUUCCAUUGUGAACGUGCAUCAUUUUGUAACACACGUUAUAAUGCUCGCCUAGCUGCUAGCAUGGCACGCCCUCAUACUCGGCUUCUGACUGUCUGGUGGUGCUGACAUAAGGUAAUUUGCAUGUCCAACUCCUAAAAAAGAUGGAACAGUAGUGUCUGUAGCUAAAAAAAAGAGCUCAACACACAGGGUGAAAAGAGGAGCUCCAGCAAUCUGCAAU